UACGAAGGGGGCUAGCGUUGCUCGGAAUUACUGGGCGUAAAGGGAGCGUAGGCGGACAUUUAAGUCAGGGGUGAAAUCCCGAGGCUCAACUUCGGAACUGCCUUUGAUACUGGAUGUCUUGAGUGUGAGAGAGGUGAGUGGAACUCCGAGUGUAGAGGUGAAAUUCGUAGAUAUUCGGAAGAACACCAGUGGCGAAGGCGACUCACUGGCUCAUUACUGACGCUGAGGCUCGAAAGCGUGGGGAGCAAACAGG
rnacentral:rRNA from 1 species